GAUGAAGAACGUAGCGAAAUGCGAUAAGUAAUGUGAAUUGCAGAAUUCAGUGAAUCAUCGAAUCUUUGAACGCACAUUGCGCCCGCCAGUAUUCUGGCGGGCAUGCCUGUCCGAGCGUCAUUUCAACCCUCGAACCCCUCCGGGGGUCCGGCGUUGGGGAUCGGGAACCCCUAAGAUGGGAUCCCGGCCCCGAAAUACAGUGGCGGUCUCGCCGCAGCCUCUCAUGCGCAGUAGUUUGCACAACUCGCACCGGGAGCGCGGCGCGUCCACGUCCGUAAAACACCCAACUUCUGAAAUGUUGACCUCGGAUCAGGUAGGAAUACCCGCUGAACUUAAGCAUAUCAAUAAGCGGAGGA
rnacentral:misc_RNA from 1 species